GCAAGAACGGCACUUCUGACAUCAGAGGCUCCAGCUGAAAGGUUCCAAAUCUAGGAGCUGGAGUCCAUCACUCACAGGAAGAGAAGAUUAGGACACAGAGAUACCAGAGAGGUCAUUCACAGAGGAAAGACCACGUGAAGACGCAGUGGCCAUAUGCAAGCUGAGGAGAGAGGUCUCAGAAGAAACCAAUACUGCCAACGCCUUGGUCUCGGACUUCCAGCCUCCAGAACUUGGACUCUACCUUCCUUCCCCUGAUUCUCAUGAGAAUCUGAUGAUCACUAAAGUGGGCAAGGUCCUGGAUCAGAAGAUGCCUGACAAGAGGCCACUAUCAGCAGCAACAGCACGGUGGGGACAAACCUGAGACCUUGAUGGACCAUGGACACCAGCAGGAGAGACAGAGGAACUUGAAGUCUAAAUGGGCAGACAAGACCAACAGACACAAAGCACAGAGUGGCACAAGAGCCAUGUCUGAUGCAACAGUGACUCAGGAGGAUCACUCUGACUCAGAAUGGCCAAGCAAAGGUUAGUUAGUGUGUUAAGUCUCUGAAGCUGAUUAACGGCUUAACUCAAGUUUUUGCACCUGCAGACCAAUGACCCCCCCUCCACCGCCCCCCCCUCCCCCCCCGCAAGGCAUCUGUUUGACAUCUCUUUAAUUUUAUUAGUGGCUUAUGGACAAAAAUCACUUGACUUAAACUUUUUCAAGUGUAAGUUAUUUGGAUUCACAAGAGCAUUUUUCUCCCUGUUAUAAAUCAAUGAACCCAGUUAAGAUUAACUGCCUACAUGUGAGCUUCAAAAGAUCUUCUAUGGCCAGGCAAAGUUGAAAGAAACACAUAAUUCCAUAACAUGCUAAACACAAGUUGAUCAAAGUUUUUGGAGCUGGUUACUUAAUGCUGUACUUCCUCAUUCUCAAACAAUCUGAUUUCAAGUAGUUUGUGUCUAAAACAUAUAUUACUAGACCGCAAACAUUCAUCCUUUGGAAGAAAAAUCAUUUUUGUAUCUUAACUUAUCAAAACCUAUGUUUCAACAGAUCUAAACUAAAGUCUGGGCUAAACAUUCCUGAACCUAAUUUGUGAAAUUCCAUAAUGUUUGGAGAUUAAUGCAAAAAGAAAUGAAAAUAAAAGAAA
rnacentral:lncRNA from 1 species